rnacentral:rRNA from 1 species
AUUGAACGCUGGCGGCAGGCUUAACACAUGCAAGUCGAGCGGGGUGAUGGUGCUUGCACUAUCACUUAGCGGCGGACGGGUGAGUAAUGCUUAGGAAUCUGCCUAUUAGUGGGGGACAACAUCUCGAAAGGGAUGCUAAUACCGCAUACGUCCUACGGGAGAAAGCAGGGGAUCACUUGUGACCUUGCGCUAAUAGAUGAGCAUAAGGCGGAUUAGCUAGUUGGUGAGGUAAAGGCCUACCAAGGCGACGAUCUGUAGCGUGUCUGAGAGGAUGAUCCGCCACACUGGGACUGAGACACGGCCCAGACUCCUACGGGAGGCAGCAGUGGGGAAUAUUGGGCAAUGGGGGGAACCCUGAUCCAGCCAUGCCGCGUGUGUGAAGAAGGCCUUAUGGUUGUAAAGCACUUUAAGCGAGGAGGAGGCUCUUUUGGUUAAUACCCAAGAUGAGUGGACGUUACUCGCAGAAUAAGCACCGGCUAACUCUGUGCCAGCAGCCGCCGUAA